rnacentral:ncRNA from 1 species
CUUUUUUCGCCCAGGUGGAGCUCGAACGCCCACACAAAUAAUGCUGGAUUUCAUCCAUAACAAUAAAGACCUAUAUGGCGUUGAGCCGAAUUGUAAGAUUUUACCGAUCGC